GUGGGGAAUAUUGGACAAUGGGCGAAAGCCUGAUCCAGCCAUGCCGCGUGUGUGAAGAAGGUCUUCGGAUUGUAAAGCACUUUAAGCGAGGAGGAGGCUACCGAGAUUAAUACUCUUGGAUAGUGGACGUUACUCGCAGAAUAAGCACCGGCUAACUCUGUGCCAGCAGCCGCGGUAAUACAGAGGGUGCAAGCGUUAAUCGGAUUUACUGGGCGUAAAGCGCGCGUAGGUGGCCAAUUAAGUCAAAUGUAAAAUCCCCGAGCUUAACUUGGGAAUUGCAUUCGAUACUGGUUGGCUAGAGUAUGGGAGAGGAUGGUAGAAUUCCAGGUGUAGCGGUGAAAUGCGUAGAGAUCUGGAGGAAUACCGAUGGCGAAGGCAGCCAUCUGGCCUAAUACUGACACUGAGGUGCGAAAGCAUGGGGAGCAAACAGGAUUAGAAACCCUAGUAGUCC
rnacentral:rRNA from 1 species